GCGGACGGGUGAGUAAUGCUUGGGAACUUGCCUUUGCGAGGGGGAUAACAGUUGGAAACGACUGCUNAUACCGCAUAAUGUUUNCGGNCCNAACGGGGCUUUUAGCUCCGGCGCAAAGAGAGGCCCAAGUGAGAUUAGCUAGUUGGUAAGGUAAAGGCUUACCAAGGCGACGAUCUCUAGCUGUUCUGAGAGGAAGAUCAGCCACACUGGGACUGAGACACGGCCCAGACUCCUACGGGAGGCAGCAGUGGGGAAUAUUGCACAAUGGGGGAAACCCUGAUGCAGCCAUGCCGCGUGUGUGAAGAAGGCCUUCGGGUUGUAAAGCACUUUCAGUUGUGAGGAAAAG
rnacentral:rRNA from 1 species